CCAAAGGAUGCACACUUUCCUCAAAACUGCCAUGAGAGUUAGGCUUCUCUCAGCUGUGGUGCUAUGUUUCCUGGGAACAGGCCUUGUGGACAUGAAUGUAACACAGAUGCCAAGAAACCUCAUCAAAAGAGUGGGAAAGAAUGUUUUGCUGGAAUGUGUACAGGACAUGAAACAUGAACGCAUGUACUGGUAUCGACAAGACCCAGAUCUGGGGCUACGGCUGAUUUACCUCUCAUAUGAUGUUGAUAGUAACAGUGAAGGAGACAUCCAUAAAGGAUACAAGGUCUCUCGGAAGAAAAGGGAGAAUUUCUCCCUGAUUCUGGAGUCUGCUAAAACUAACCACACAUCUGUGUACUUCUGUGCCAGCAGUUUAUCCACAGCUCUACACAACCACAUCCUUUUUGCACAAAAAUAGUCUAUGGGAAGGAUAUGGUUUCACCUCAUGCCUA